GGUUUUUUAAGUCUGGAGUGAAAGGCGACGGCUCAACCGUCGACGCGCUUCGGAAACUGGGGGACUUGAGGGCAGGAGAGGCGAGCGGAAUUCCCGGUGUAGCGGUGAAAUGCGUAGAGAUCGGGAAGAACACCAGUGGCGAAGGCGGCUCGCUGGACUGGCCCUGACGCUGACGCGCGAAAGCGUGGGGAGCGAACGGGAUUAGAUACCCCGGUAGUCCACGCCGUAAACGAUGGGCACUAGGUGUGGGAGGUAUCGACCCCUCCCGUGCCGGAGUUAACACACUAAGUGCCCCGCCUGGGGAGUACGGCCGCAAGGUUGAAACUCAAAGGAAUUGACGGGGGCCCGCACAAGCAGUGGAGCAUGUGGUUUAAUUCGACGCAACGCGAAGAACCUUACCCGGGCUUGACAUCCCCGGAACACCCGAGAGAUCGGGUGGCUCUACGGAGCCGGGAGACAGGUGCUGCAUGGUUGUCGUCAGCUCGUGUCGUGAGAUGUUGGGUUAAGUCCCGCAACGAGCGCAACCCUUGUCCCGUGUUACCAGCGUAAAGGCGGGGACUCACGGGAGACUGCCGGUGACAAACCGGAGGAAGGUGGGGAUGACGUCAAAUCAUCAUGGCCCUUAUGUCCGGGGCUACACACGUGCUACAAUGGCCGGCACAGCGGGAUGCGAAGGGGCGACCCGGAGCGAAUCCCUGAAAGCCGGUCCCAGUUCGGAUCGCAGGCUGAAACCCGCCUGCGUGAAGCCCGGAAUUGCUAGUAAUCGCGGAUCA
rnacentral:rRNA from 1 species